UGUUUCCAGGAAACUGAAAGUAAGGUUAUCCCCUUUUUGUUUUCUUUCUUUUUAUUAUCAAUUAAGAAAUCAAAACUCAAAACCAAGCCUUAAGAGAAAACAGUAGGCGGCAGCUGGGGUAUUGAUACUCGACUUCUUCUCCUUCUCUUGGUAUUCAAGAAUUCACUAAAAGAAGAAAGGGAGGAAAGGAUUCUUACGAUAAUUAUGAAGUAAUCCUUGAGGGUUGACUUCAAUAACCUAAAGUUGGAGUUGAAUUUUAGAAGCUAGUGAAUUGCUUAGAUAGCAGGAACUAGUGGUUGGUAAGAUAAAGGUUGCACGCUCGUUGGUUGAAUCACUUGAGGCUCGAAUUACUAUCAUAGUUAAUAAAGUAAUAAGACUCCGAUCCUCCUGAUCACAGACGUCCACGUUAGGCUCUAUUGCCGUUUUCAGCUAAUAUUUUGGUGAGCUCCAACUCUCUCUGGAGCCAGUCUAUGCCUAGUAUUUUUUAUUAUAUGUACAGGUCUCUGGUUGGGCAUGACGGGCCGGAUGCCAACUAGUCUCUUGUAGUAUAGUGUGUUAAACUGACUAGAGGCUUCAUGGACAUCGUGUGGUAUUGUAUAGUUUUGUUAAUAUAACUCCCUCGUGUA